rnacentral:rRNA from 1 species
UACGGAGGGUGCAAGCGUUGUCCGGAUUUAUUGGGUUUAAAGGGUGCGUAGGCGGCCCGUUAAGUCAGUGGUGAAAGCCUCCAGCUCAACUGGAGAACUGCCAUUGAUACUGGCGGGCUUGAGUACAGAAGAGGUAGGCGGAAUUGAUUGUGUAGCGGUGAAAUGCAUAGAUACAAUCAAGAACACCGAUUGCGUAGGCAGCUUACUAGGCUGUAACUGACGCUGAGGCACGAAAGCGUGGGGAGCGAACAGG